rnacentral:rRNA from 1 species
CACUUCUAAGGAAGGCAGCAGGCGCGCAAAUUACCCAAUCCUGACUCAGGGAGGUAGUGACAAGAAAUAACAAUAAACCGGCUUAUGCCGGUUUAAUUGGAAUGAGUACAAUUUAAACAUCUUAACGAGGAACAAUUGGAGGGCAAGUCUGGUGCCAGCAGCCGCGGUAAUUCCAGCUCCAAUAGCGUAUACUAAAGUUGUUGCAGUUAAAAAGCUCGUAGUUGGAUUUCUGUGGGGACGGAGCGGCCGGCCGCACAUCGCGGUUCGAGCUAGCGCUUUCCCUACAUCCUGCCGCGAACCGUGCUACCAUUAGUUUGGUGGCGCCGGGGAUCGGCUCGAUUACUUUGAGAAAAAUAGAGUGUUCAAAGCAGGCCACAUGCCUUGAAUAAGUUAGCAUGGAAUAAUAACUAAGGGCUUCGGUUCUAUUUUGUUGGUGUUCGGGACUGAAGUAAUGAUUGAUAGGGACAGUUGGGGCGGUCUGUAUUCCAAAGCGAGAGGUGAAAUUCUUAGACCUUCGGAAGAUAAACAGCUGCGAAAGCGUUCCGCAAGGAUGUUCCCUUUGAUCAAGAACGAAAGUUGGGGGAUCGAAGACGAUCAGAUACCGUCGUAGUCUCAACUAUAAACUAUACCAGCUAGGGAUCGGCCAACGUUAUUUUAUACCGACUUGGUCGGCACCUUAUGAGAAAUCAAAGCAUCUGGGUUCCGGGGGGAGUAUGGUCGCAAGGCUGAAACUUAAAGGAAUUGACGGAAGGGCACCACCAGCCGUGGAGCCUGUGGCUUAAUUUGACUCAACACGGGAAAACUUACCAGGUCCAGACAUAGUAAGGAUUGACAGAUUGAUAGCUCUUUCUUGAUUCUGUGGGUGGUGGUGCAUGGCCGUUCUUAGUUGGUGGAGUGAUUUGUCUGGUUAAUUCCGUUAACGAACGAGACCCCAGCCUGCUAAAUAGCGCGCGUGAGCUUUGCUCGCGGCGAGCUUCUUAGAGGGACUAUGAUGCGCGAUAGCACAUGGAAGUUUGGGGCAAUAACAGGUCUGUGAUGCCCUUAGAUGUUCUGGGCCGCACACGGGCUACACUGGCGCCUGCAACGAGCAUAUCAGCUGGCCCGAGAGGGUCUUGGCUAAUCUUUUGAACCGGCGCCGUGCUUGGGAUUGACCUUUGCAAUUGUUGGUCAUGCAACGAGGAAUGCCUUGUAAACGCGCGUCAUCAGCUCGCAUUGAAUACGUCCCUGCCCUUUGUACACACCGCCCGUCGCUCCUACCGAUGAAUGUUCCGAUGAAAUUUUCGGAGAGUGCCUGUGAACUUGGCUCUGCCUUGCGAACGGGAAGCUCAAAGUCACUUAAAUCUGAACAUUUC